rnacentral:lncRNA from 1 species
GGCCACUGAGUUACCUCAGGAGUUACUGAAGCAUCUUGUUGCAAACCACAUAUCUUUAGUCCUGCUGUGAUGCAAGAGGCAGCCCGGGACACCAGGCUUAUCCUUGCUGGGAGCAAUGUUCUGCUCUGGUCAACUUGGACACCUCACGUGGAGGCUGACACGGCUUCGCAUUUGCAACUGGGAGGACUUUCCACGGUGUGAACCCUAUGCAGGCCAAAGGGUGCCGGGUGCCUGUUACCUGGCAGUGCCAGAAAGGCUUGUGCCGACUGCCCAUCACAUCACAGUCGUCCUGAGUCUCUUCAUUGGAGGGUCUGUGGGAAAGGUCUUAGUGAAUUUUUUCAUGGUUACUUCUGCUGACUAUUUUCAUCAUAGGAAGCAGCCACAAGGCAGAGCAUUCAAAAAGCGUAUUGGCCGAUUGACAGCAAGAACUUAUCUCACUCAAGAACUGGAACACUCUUUAAAAAGACAAGGGGACACUACUCAGUACAGAGAAGCUUAUAGAAAUUACAGCAUCACACCAGGGCAGGAGCCUCUCUGA